rnacentral:rRNA from 1 species
UACAGAGGUCUCGAGCGUUAGGCGGAAUCACUGGGCUUAAAGCGUGUGUAGGCGGCUCGGUAAGUACCUUGUGAAAUCCCACAGCUUAACUGUGGAACUGCUUGGUAUACUGCCAGUCUUGAGCCAGCUAGGGGCUACCGGAACAAAUGGUGGAGCGGUGAAAUGCGUAGAUAUCAUUUGGAACGCCAAUGGUGAAAACAGGUAGCUGGGGCUGUGCUGACGCUGAGACACGAAAGCCAGGGGAGCAAACGGG